GUACCGUAGGCUCUGGUAGGCUGUUUGUCUAGUUAUGUACCGUAGGCUCUGGUAGGCUGUUUGUCUAGUUAUGUACCGUAGGCUCUGGUAGGCUGUUUGUCUAGUUAUGUACCGUAGGCUGUUUGUCUAGUUAUGUACCGUAGGCUGUUUGUCUAGUUAUGUACCGUAGGCUCUGGUAGGCUGUUUGUCUAGUUAUGUACCGUAGGCUCUGGUAGGCUGUUUGUCUAGUUAUGUACCGUAGGCUCUGGUAGGCUGUUUGUCUAGUUAUGUACCGUAGGCUCUGGUAGGCUGUCAUAUUCUGUCAAGCACUGUGGAACAACAACAAACAACCAGUCAAUUGUACAACGACGUACAACACAUAGACAUUUUAAGGAGAGCGGACUUGUGAUAAAACUGUGAAGUGUAAUCUUGUAUGUUUGGGCCUAAACAGACAGUUAGCGUCCACUUCCUGUCAAUCAAAUGGAAUAAAUCAAUGAGGAUUCUGUUGUCUAGGAGUUAGCUGGACAGAGAAGUAACGUGGGCCAUGUCACGUGAUGACACAUUUCAAGCACGCGAAAAACCGUUAAUAUAACUGUGAGCGUUUCAUUUUUUCCAAAGAUGUACGGCGACAUGUUGAGCCCUUUGUGAUACGGCAGGGACGUCUUAACGCUCUCCAUCUCCCUAAGGUUCCUGGUCCGCUGACGGCCGAGUUGGAGUCCAAGAAGACGGACAAGAAGAGGGCUCAGAAAGCAGCCAAGAAAACCAGGGAGAAAGAACAGAAAGAACAGAGGAAGAAACUAGAGAUGGAGGCUGAGGAGAAGAAAAGAUUUGCCUCCUUAAGCGAUCGAGAGAAGAGAGCACAGGCUGCAGAGAAGAGGUUGGCAGAGCAUCAGGCCUCGACAGGGGAGACCUUCCAAACACCAGGCGGUGUUGGCAGUGUGGGGAGUCCCUGGUGGGAAAGGUCCCGUUUCAAUACCUAGACUUCAGCUUCUGCACCCUCGCUGUGUCCAGGAGCACCGCAAGGCUAAUGUGGCCAACAGGAGCAGGGCAGGAAACUGACUUUCAUGUUGCUACCGCCACAACCCUGCCAUACUGUUGCCACUUCACUAUAGAAGCCUCAGGCCUACUAAUCUAUUGGUUGGUGGGGACAGAGCACGCAGACCCAGAGACCUAACUGAACCAAGCCACAGACCUCAGUCAAUCUGCAUCUUGAUGUUGCCCAUCUGAUAGGAUUAAAAUGCACAGAAAUAGAAUUAAUAGAACAUACGAAUGGGGACUCCUGUUCUAUUCAUUAUAUUUCUAUGCAUUUAAUCCCACCAAAUAGGCCAAAAUCCAGAUGGAUAACUUUAGAUGAAAACUGGACCUGGUGCCUCCGAGACGAGCUUUGUUACGAUUCAGUUUAACUCAGAAGAUCUGCCUUGUUGCACCGUUGGAAAUGUGAAAGGUCAUUUUCCGAUUUGAGCCUUGAACAUGCAGCGUUUACCGUGAAAGCUGGGUGCCUUUUUAAAUGGAGCUGAUCGUUUCAGGAAAGGAGGCGGAGCCUGAGUCUGAACCGGGUCCGAACCGGGUCCGAACCGGGUCUGAACCGGGUCUGAACCGGGUCUGGAACCGGGUCCGAACCGGGUCCGAACCGGGUCUGAACCGGGUCUGAACCGGGUCUGAACUCGGGUCUGAACCGGGUCUGAACCGAGUCCGAACCGGGUCCGAACCAGGUCUGAACCGGGUCUGAACUGGGUCUGAACUGGUGUCAAACUAAUUCACUGUUGGUGUCGAAUGGAAUAAUAAACCAUAUUAAUUCAGCUGAAUGUGUGAUGAUGAAACUGUUUAUUCAUGUACACUGUUUUUAUGAAAUCGGUAUAUAGUAAAGUGCCAAAACAUAGACCGUAUCUGACAGAAGCACAGCAACUCAUGUUAUUAAAUCAUGUCAAAACAAUGA